rnacentral:rRNA from 1 species
UACGAAGGGGGCUAGCGUUGCUCGGAAUCACUGGGCGUAAAGCGCACGUAGGCGGAUUCCUAAGUCGGUGGUGAAAUCCUGGAGCUCAACUCCAGAACUGCCUCCGAUACUGAGAGUCUCCGAGUCCGGGAGAGGUGAGUGGAACUGCGAGUGUAGAGGUGGAAUUCGUAGAUAUUAGGAAGAACACCAGUGGCGAAGGCGGCUCACUGGUCCGGUACUGACGCUGAGGUGCGAAAGCGUGGGGAGCAAACAGG